CCAAACUGAACCGAAACAAAAGAAAAACUACAUUUCCCAGAAGGCAGAGCGGCAAGCUGGAAAAGAAGCGCCUUCUUGGGGAACCCCGGGGGCGGGACUUCCGACGUUCUGGAUCUCAUUCUUGCUUCACAGACCAUCUUUCCAAUGGUUCACCGUUCUGGGCAGAAACAGGCUCCUGUGAAUCGAGGGGCGCGAACCAGAAGGACUUCGAGGACAGAGGACCAACUCCCACCUUCUGCGUAAGCCGUGCUCUCCUUCGCGGCUUAGCAGCGCUCCCUGACGCACGCUUCUCCCGGCCUCAGCACCAGUGGUUCCCAUGGCGACGCCUGCACCGAUGAGUGGAGGUUCCCCGCUGUCUAGCCAUCUGCUGGAGGAUCUUGGAUCCCGGAACUCUAACUCUACAGGAGUUAGUGUCCUGGGAUCUGGAAACAGCAGUUUCCUCAGGAGGCUCCUGUGGCCUUGGGCUCCGCGCCUCACCGCUCUUGGCCUUCCUCUUAUUAGGCCUUGAUUUCAUUUGAUGAUGUGGCUGUGACCUUCACUGUGGAGGAAUGGGAAGAUCUGGACCUGGCUCAGAGGACCCUGUACCAGGAAGUGAUGAUGGAGACCUUCUGCUUUCACUGAGUAAGGAUCCAUUUCUCUUCUGGUUGCAGAGUUUAAAGCCACCUUUAUUGCACCCUCUGUAGGCAACUCUCUGCUGGUUGAGGCCAUUGCACAACUCAUAGCCUUAGUUACUGUGAUAGGACAGCUGUGUGCUUGGUUUCUCAGUAUCUACAUGGUUAUUAUGUAAGAAACAUAGUCCUCAAUACUGUCAUUCAAUCACGUAUUGUUCCACAUCUCCAGAGAAGGGAAGGUAACCUGCUAAGCAUGAUGGAGAGAGAUGUCUUCACAGCAGAGCCAAUAGGAUCAGCCAGGAAAGGAGGUUCUCAAGAGACUAAUUCAGGUUGUAAUCCAGGGGAGACCAAGGCUUGAGGAUCAAAAGCUCAAGGGCAGCUUGGGCUAUGUGUAGAGUUCAAGACAUAAAGGUUAUCCCUCCCUGACCCACAAAAGGACAGCAGGGUUAUUCAGACAUGUAUGAAGGUGCUUGUCCUCAGCACUGCUGGUGUUUGGAAGCAACACAGCCUCAGUUAAGUGACUCCUUUAGCUUCUCUCACUUCCAUUAAUGACACAUAUAUCCUAAGGCCUGAGCAAAGUGGCCACUUAGUGAGAGUCCUCCACUCUUCACAGCAUUGUUGGCUAACCUCUGAAAUCACCUCACAGACCCAACUUUGAUCAGGGAGUAUGAGCUUGCUGACAUUCAUUUUUAGUGUAACGUUUUAGUAACACCUGCAUUAGUAACUGAACUAAUACCUCAAAUGAGCUUAGAACAGAAGUGGGACCAGUGCCACAGUGUCCCUCAUAAUAGACAAAUCCCAAAUAUCUUCCACCUUCCUGCAUUGCUCUGAGUGGGAAUUUAUUGAACAGCCAAGGUCUCUCUAUCCCACAAUGUUCAGGUGGUUUGGUGACUCUGCUAGCCUGUGUCCACAGUAGAGUAAACACAGUGUUGUUUUGUGUUUAAUAUUGGGAGGAAGGGUACAGGGAACAGCACUCUGGAUGUGGGAAACAGCAAAGCAGAGUCCCUGAAGAUAGGGAGCUCAAUGAAGGGAGAAUCAGGGCUCUGCCCUCAUGGUCCUGCCCAUAAGCUCAGAAUGGAAAAAUAUAAAAUAUAUGGCUCAAGUAAUAAAGGGGCACCAGGAAAUGAAAUGGAGCUGAAUCCUG
rnacentral:lncRNA from 14 species